rnacentral:rRNA from 1 species
GAUGAACGCUGGCGGCGUGCCUAAUACAUGCAAGUCGAGCGAACAGAUGAGGAGCUUGCUCCUCUGACGUUAGCGGCGGACGGGUGAGUAACACGUGGAUAACCUACCUAUAAGACUGGGAUAACUUCGGGAAACCGGAGCUAAUACCGGAUAAUAUAUUGAACCGCAUGGUUCAAUAGUGAAAGACGGUUUUGCUGUCACUUAUAGAUGGAUCCGCGCCGCAUUAGCUAGUUGGUAAGGUAACGGCUUACCAAGACGACGAUGCGUAGCCGACCUGAGAGGGUGAUCGGCCACACUGGAACUGAGACACGGUCCAGACUCCUACGGGAGGCAGCAGUAGGGAAUCUUCCGCAAUGGGCGAAAGCCUGACGGAGCAACGCCGCGUGAGUGAUGAAGGUCUUCGGAUCGUAAAACUCUGUUAUUAGGGAAGAACAAAUGUGUAAGUAACUAUGCACGUCUUGACGGUACCUAAUCAGAAAGCCACGGCUAACUACGUG